rnacentral:rRNA from 1 species
GAGUUGAUCGUGGCUCAGAACGAACGCUGGCGGCGUGGAUAAGACAUGCAAGUCGAACGGGAGAAUUGCUAGCUUGCUAAUAAUUCUCUAGUGGCGCACGGGUGAGUAACACGUGAGUAACCUGCCCCCGAGAGCGGGAUAGCCCUGGGAAACUGGGAUUAAUACCGCAUAGUAUCGAAAGAUUAAAGCAGCAAUGCGCUUGGGGAUGGGCUCGCGGCCUAUUAGUUAGUUGGUGAGGUAACGGCUCACCAAGGCGAUGACGGGUAGCCGGUCUGAGAGGAUGUCCGGCCACACUGGAACUGAGACACGGUCCAGACACCUACGGGUGGCAGCAGUCGAGAAUCAUUCACAAUGGGGGAAACCCUGAUGGUGCGACGCCGCGUGGGGGAAUGAAGGUCUUCGGAUUGUAAACCCCAGUCAUGUGGGAGCAAAUUAAAAAGAUAGUACCACAAGAGGAAGAGACGGCUAACUCUGUGCCAGCAGCCGCAGU